CCUACGGGAGGCAGCAGUGAGGAAUAUUGGUCAAUGGCCUCAAGUCUGAACCAGCCAUGCCGCGUGCAGGAAGAAGGCUCUAUGGGUUGUAAACUGCUUUUGUAGGAGAGUAAACGCAUCUACGUGUGUAUAUCUGCAUGUAUCCUAUGAAUAAGCAUCGGCUAACUCCGUGCCAGCAGCCGCGGUAAUACGGAGGAUGCAAGCGUUCUCCGGAUUUAUUGGGUUUAAAGGGUGCGUAGGCUGUCGGAUAAGUUAGCGGUGAAAUCUCGGGGCUCAACCAUGGAAUUGCCUUUGAUACUGUACGGCUAGAGAGUGUUUGCGGUAGGCGGAAUGUGUGGUGUAGCGGUGAAAUGCUUAGAGAUCACACAGAACACCGAUUGCGAAGGCAGCUUACCAAGCCACAACUGACGUUGAGGCACGAAAGCGUGGGGAGCAAACAGGAUUAGAUACCCCUGUAGUC
rnacentral:rRNA from 1 species